AAUUAAUCAUGUAACUGGCGGAAAUGGUGUUUACCAUAGGGAGCAUGACUAAAGAAAGAUAUCGACCGUCUGGGUAAAAUAA
rnacentral:ncRNA from 2 species